rnacentral:rRNA from 1 species
GGGGAGCGUAAUAUGCUAGUCGAACGCCGUAGCAAUACGGAGUGGCAGACGGGUGAGGAACACGUGGGAACAUACCCUUUGGUUCGGAAUAACACAGAGAAAUUUGUGCUAAUACCGGAUAAGUCGGCAACGAGAAAGAUUCAUCGCCGAAGGAUUGGCCCGCGUCCGAUUAGCUAGUUGGUGUGGUAAUGGCGCACCAAGGCGACGAUCGGUAGCUGGUCUGAGAGGAUGAUCAGCCACAUUGGGACUGAAACACGGCCCAAACUCCUACGGGAGGCAGCAGUGGGGAAUAUUGGACAAUGGGCGCAUGCCUGAUCCAGCCAUGCCGCGUGAGUGAUGACAGUCCUAGGGUUGUAAAGGUCUUUCUCCCGCGACGAUAAUGACGGUAGUGGGAGAAAAAGCCCCGGCUAACUUCUUGCCAGCAUCCUCUGUAUUACAAAGGGGGCUAGCGUUGUUCGGAUUUACUGGGUGUAAAGCGCACGUACGCGGAUCUUUAAUUCCGGGGUUAAAUGCCGGGAGCUCAAUUUCGGAACUGCCUUUGUUACUGGGGAUCUUUUGUUCUCGAAAGGUGAGUGCCAUUGCGUGAGUUAGAAGUGAAAUUCGUCUAUAUUCCUCAGGACCCACAUGUGUUGAAAGUCGGUUCUUCUUGUCUCUUUCUGACGCCUAAUGUGCUUAAAGCGUGGGGGGACAAUCAGUACUUGAUACCUGGGAAUUCUCCUCCUUUAUCAUUUAUAGUUUUCCUUUUAGCACAUUGCUUUU